UACGUAGGUGGCAAGCGUUGUCCGGAAUUAUUGGGCGUAAAGCGCGCGCAGGCGGUUUCUUAAGUCUGAUGUGAAAGCCCACGGCUCAACCGUGGAGGGUCAUUGGAAACUGGGAAACUUGAGUGCAGAAGAGAAAAGCGGAAUUCCACGUGUAGCGGUGAAAUGCGUAGAGAUGUGGAGGAACACCAGUGGCGAAGGCGGCUUUUUGGUCUGUAACUGACGCUGAGGCGCGAAAGCGUGAGGAGCAAACAGG
rnacentral:rRNA from 1 species